rnacentral:rRNA from 1 species
UACAGAGGUCCCAAGCGUUGUUCGGAUUCACUGGGCGUAAAGGGUGCGUAGGCGGUCGGGUAAGUCUGUCGUGAAAUCUCCAAGCCUAACUUGGAAACUGCGUUGGAUACUAUCCGGCUCGAGGAAUGGAGGGGAGACUGGAAUACUUGGUGUAGCAGUGAAAUGCGUAGAUAUCAAGUGGAACACCAGUGGCGAAGGCGAGUCUCUGGACAUUUCCUGACGCUGAGGCACGAAAGCCAGGGGAGCAAACGGG